CACGAUCCUGAAGUCCCAGGCAGUUAUGGCCAGUAAACCCCCUCCGACCUAUAGCGUGCAUCCACAGGCAGUCAUUCCUGAAACACCCCCCUCAUAGCAUGCAGCCGUGGGCAGCCGUUAGUCUGCACACAUUAUAUGUUUUCAGGAACAGUGGCUCGGAAACGCACACGCCAAACCACUCCUUCAAAUGUUGAACAUGGUGCUGAUGUUGCAGAAGGUCCAUCCCACCAUCAUCCGACUGCACAAAUGCGCACAGGCCACGGAUCCACAACGCGACAACACGUGGCACCGAAAAGACCAUGACACGAUCUGCCCAGAGCACAAUCUGCCUCUCCACCAAGGCGACGCAUCAGUACGGUCGCAUCAAGGCCACCGUCCGAUUUGCUGGCGCCCUCCGCACCACUUCAACUGCAGUCCCCUCAAAUUCCAGGCAUGAAAUAUUCAAGAAGAGAAAUAAUUGUCACCUCCUAUACCUGUGAGCACCUGUAGAAUGAGUCCUGACCUUCCAAAUGGAGCAUUAUAUCAGUCAGAUGUGUAUAUAUAUAUAUAUAUAUAUAUAUAUAUAUAUAUAUACUUAUCUCUACAUCACAGAUAUGUGUACACAUCAUAUGAUAUCUGACAUCUACAAAGAAUAUUUUAUGAAUUUCUUUACCAAUACUUCCGAACAUCCAUCCUCCUCCAUGGAAGAAUAUGAUCCCCUUCUUCCCGCCAGCAGAUGGCGAUCUGGGCUGGUAAACUCUGACAGGAAUCCCUUCCAUCUGCAGGUUUUUGAUGAAGAGUUUGGGAUCGUCUCCCGAAUUUCUGGCCAGCAGUUUAUCUCUGACGAGUCGGGUGAAGUCCAGCUGACUGCAUAUAAGCAUAUUCUGGAGUAUUUUCCCCUGUUUGGUUAGAAGACAGGAUAUGUUUAUGCAUGUUGCAAAUGUUAAGCAUCGCGGUCACCUGUCUCUAAUUUCCAGUCUUGGCGUCAAAAAUGUGUUUAUGGAAUUAUUUUGUCCCUAGAAAUGUUUGUUUCUUAUUUUGACGUACUGUACAAUAAAAUGUAGAUGCCUCUUA